AAUCUGCCCUGCACUCUGGGACAAGCCCGGGAAACUGGGUCUAAUACCGGAUAUGACCACUUCGGGCAUCCGAUGGUGGUGGAAAGCUCCGGCGGUGCAGGAUGAAUCCGCGGCCUAUCAGCUUGUUGGUGGGGUAAUGGCCUACCAAGGCGACGACGGGUAGCCGGCCUGAGAGGGCGACCGGCCACACUGGGACUGAGACACGGCCCAGACUCCUACGGGAGGCAGCAGUGGGGAAUAUUGCACAAUGGGCGAAAGCCUGAUGCAGCGACGCCGCGUGAGGGAUGACGGCCUUCGGGUUGUAAACCUCUUUCAGUAGGGAAGAAGCCUUCGGGUGACGGUACCUGCAAAAGAAGCACCGGCUAACUACGUGCCAGCAGCCGCGGUAAUACGUAGGGUGCAAGCGUUGUCCGGAAUUAUUGGGCGUAAAGAGCUCGUAGGCGGUUUGUCGCGUCGAUUGUGAAAGCCCGGGGCUUAACCCCGGGUCUGCAGUCGAUACGGGCAGGCUAGAGUUCGGUAGGGGAGAUCGGAAUUCCUGGUGUAGCGGUGAAAUGCGCAGAUAUCAGGAGGAACACCGGUGGCGAAGGCGGAUCUCUGGGCCGAUACUGACGCUGAGGAGCGAAAGCGUGGGGAGCGAACAGGAUUAGAUACCCUGGUAGUCCACGCCGUAAACGGUGGGCACUAGGUGUGGGCAACAUUCCACGUUGUCC
rnacentral:rRNA from 1 species